rnacentral:rRNA from 1 species
AAUCAACGCUGGCGGCGUGCCUAACACAUGCAAGUCGAACGCGAAAGUCCCGCAAGGGAUUAGUAGAGUGGCAAACGGGUGAGUAACACGUGGGUGACCUGCCUUCGAGUGGGGGAUAACGUCCCGAAAGGGACGCUAAUACCGCAUGACAUCCUGUCUUUUAACUAGGCGGAGAUCAAAGCUGGGGAGUCGCAAGACCUAGCGCUUGAAGAGGGGCCCGCGUCUGAUUAGCUAGUUGGUGAGGUAACGGCUCACCAAGGCGACGAUCAGUAUCCGGCCUGAGAGGGCGGACGGACACACUGGGACUGAGACACGGCCCAGACUCCUACGGGAGGCAGCAGUGGGGAAUUUUGGACAAUGGGGAAACCCUGAUCCAGCCAUUCCGCGUGAGUGAAGAAGGCCU